rnacentral:tRNA from 1 species
GGGCCCGUAGCUCAGCUAGGAUAAGAGCGCCGGCCUGCGGAGCCGGUGGUCAGGGGUUCAAAUCCCCUCGGGCCCGCCA